UAGAUGAAAGAAACUCGGAGACUAUUGG
rnacentral:piRNA from 1 species